rnacentral:lncRNA from 1 species
GUCCCGUAAGUAUCUAUGCCAAUUGUGUGUAAUUAUAGUCCUAAACGGAAGUCUUGUCUAUGACUUAAAACUCCGCCCGAUGACUAAAACAAUAUCCUGGCGCCUUUAUUCGCGUUUUCCUAUAAAUAUAAACUAGGCAGAAUAAUCACAAGCGAGAAAGACAAAUGUGACUUUGCAUGGUACCUAUAUAACACAAAGGUAUGAUGGUUAAUUUAUUAAAGGAAUGACUG